UCCCUCUUAGCUCAGUUGGUAGAGCGCGUCACUAGUAAUGACGAGGUCAGUCGUUCGAGUCGGCUAGAGGGAA